rnacentral:ncRNA from 1 species
GCAAAAGUAAUGAUAAGGACAAUAGUAUUUUUUUACGGAUUUCAGAGAGGGAGCCCAUGGCUGAAAAGCUCCUAUUUCGGAUUAAAUACUUACCACCUUUAAACUUCAGCAGUGAACACCUUGUAAAGGUAUGUAACUGUUGACGGAAAACAGCCGUUACCUGUCCUAAAGUCACUUUUCAUCAUAGGUUUAUGAUAAGUGAAAAAUUGGGUGGAACCACGUGUAUACCAAACUCGUCCCUUUU